UCACUGAACCCUAGCAGCCGCACACCCCCAAUCUCUCAUCUGCCCACACUCACCACUCUAACGUGCUUCACUCUCUGGCCCACUCCUUCUAAUUUUUUUUGUCUGCUCUUCCUCUUCCCUUCCCCAUUCCUCUCCUCUCCAACAGAUCUGUAAAAACACAAAAAGCUGGAAGUCGUGGAACCAGGUUGGGAAGAAAAAAAAAAUGGCACUUACGGAAGUCGACAUCAAUACCGGAAGUCGACUUCCGUAGUUAGUAAAUAUUGAUUUCCGUAAGAGCAGUUCCACUUCCGUAGGCCAGUGCAACUUCCGUAGGGGAGUUCGACGUUCGACUUCCGUAGGCGAGUUCGACGUUCGACUUCCGUAGGCGAGUUCGACGUUCGACUUCCGUAGGCGAGUUCGACUUCCGUAGGCGAGUUCCACUUCCGUAAGGUGUACCUCUUUUUCUGAGAAGAAAUGAAGCAGAUGGAAUUUCACACCUCAACCACGAAAUUUUUUGCAGUGACCACGAAAUUUUUUGCAGUGAAACUGAAAGUGAAACUGAAAGUGAAACUGAAGAGGGGUGCAGGGUAUAUAAAAGACUGGCCGGGCAUAAAUGGAAGAGCAUGAAUAUUUGGAGGUGCAGAAGAAAUAUUGGGGGUGCAGGAAGAAACCCCCAACAAACUACUACUAACUCACGGGACCCACACCCUCUUUCUAAAACCCAAAACGCACACACCUUACAAAUCACUCGCCCUAAACCUUCAUUCACGCUCACCUCACUCACGCGCACACAUCACAGACGACACUCACCUCUAACACUAAGACUCACUCAUCCCACAGUCUCUCCCUUAACGCUUCACUAACCAACGCACACUUGAUUCACUGGGGAACACGAUAAAAGCAGAAGAAAAGGAAGAAAUAGGGGUUGGAGAAGUCACGAAGG